rnacentral:rRNA from 1 species
GUAGGUGGCAAGCGUUGUCCGGAAUUAUUGGGCGCAAAGCGCGCGCAGGCGGUUCUUUAAGUCUGAUGUGAAAGCCCACGGCUCAACCGUGGAGGGUCAUUGGAAACUGGAGAACUUGGGUACAGAAGAGGAAAGCGGAAUUCCACGUGUAGCGGUGAAAUGCGUAGAGAUGUGGAGGAACACCAGUGGCGAAGGCGGCUUUCUGGUCUGUAACUGACGCUGAGGCGCGAAAGCGUGGGGAGCAAACAGGAUUAGAUACCCUGGUAGUCCACGCCGCAAACGAUGAGUGCUAAGUGUUAGGGGGUUUCCGCCCCUUAGUGCUGCAGCUAACGCAUUAAGCACUCCGCCUGGGAGUACGGCCGCAAGGCUG